GUAUGCUUAAUUAAACCGAUUAGUUUCUCAUUAAAAUAAUGAAGGGGAUGAAUUUGCAUCAAGUUUGGGGUUGGCAAAAAUAGAGUCAGCUCUUGUAGAUGAAGCUGGGAGUGGAGACCUGGGUUACAUGUAAAAUAGAGCCAGUGCUCUCUUCAUAGUGUUAUGAGGGGUCAACUGAGAUCAAGGCUAUGAAAAUGCUUUGUAAAGCGUAAAGGGAUAUACUCCUGGGAGUUACUCUUGAGUUGUUUUCAUGACUUUCCUCAUGAGUUUAUAUGCAUGUAGGCCUAUUAUUUUCUCUCUGACCAUCCCCAGAUGCUGUUGGCCAUCAGGGAAUCAGUCAAGAAUGUGGAUCAAUCUUCUGAAAUCCAUCUUUCCACCAAGAAAGACCUCAGAGCACAUCCCUGCUGAUGAACACAAAUGAAAAUGAACUUGGAGUCCCUGUGGCCUGGCUUGUCUAUUGCUACUACCUCCCCUCUCACGGACAAAUUCUAGUGUGCUCAGGUGUGAUGCGCGACUUCAGAGGCUCAAGGCUCUGAUUGCUGGGCCAAUGAUCAAAUCGUUUUGUCUGGAAAUCCAGCUGUCUCAUACAUGAGUCUGGACUAUUGAAGCCAACUGGCUGGUAUGACCAUGAGAACGUCACCUUAUUGCUGUGUUCUUCUUUCCAUCUCUCUUCCAGGCUAUGGGGAAUUAUUAUAUACAGCUUGAAGUAUAGUGAAGUAGGAAAAGAAAGAUUGUUUUGGAACUUCAAAAUGAUGUAAUUUACUUCCAUCCUGCCAUGGAACAUUCCACCAUGUGUUUGUGGGGUAUUCACUUUUACUUUCCCCUCUCCAUCCUUCAUCAGGUGUUUUUUCUUUCAGCAUGAGAAAGUAUUAUUUUUAUUUUUUUGAGAUGGAGUUUUGCUCUUGUCUUGAGAUUACAGGCAUGAGCCACUGCACCCGGCCUAGAAUGUAUCAUUUUUAUAUAAAACGGGCUGCAACAAAUUAACUCUGCUUUAUUAUUAUUAUUAGAGAGAGAGUGUCUCACUGUGAUAACCAGGCUGGAGUGCAGUGUCACGAUCUUGGCUCCACAACCUCUGCCUCCUGGGCUCAGCCUCCCAAAUAGCUGAGACGACUGGUGCACACCACCACUUUCAGCUAAUUUUUAAAGGUUUUUGUCGAGACAAGGUCACACUAUAUUGCCCAGGCUGGUCUUGAACUCCCAGACUCAUGUGAUCCUCCCCUCCCUUCUCAGCCUCCCAAAGUGCUGGGAUUACAGGAAUGAGCUAUUGUGCCCUGCUUUAAUUGUAACUUAAGUCUCCAAAGUGGAAUGAAGAAUGAACGCAAAAUUUGCUUUAUAAUAAGGGAGAAAAAAAGAACUAACCAACUAUAGAUAAUCUUUACAUUUCUUCCUCUAUUCGUUUGUGUACACUGUCUAUUUUACUU
rnacentral:lncRNA from 13 species